rnacentral:rRNA from 1 species
AGUGAACGCUGGCGGUAGGCCUAACACAUGCAAGUCGAACGGCAGCACAGUAUGAGCUUGCUCUUACGGGUGGCGAGUGGCGGACGGGUGAGGAAUACAUCGGAAUCUACUUUUUCGUGGGGGAUAACGUAGGGAAACUUACGCUAAUACCGCAUACGACCUACGGGUGAAAGCAGGGGAUCUUCGGACCUUGCGCGAUUGAAUGAGCCGAUGUCGGGUUAGCUAGUUGGCGGGGUAAAGGCCCACCAAGGCGACGAUCCGUAGCUGGUCUGAGAGGAUGAUCAGCCACACUGGAACUGAGACACGGUCCAGACUCCUACGGGAGGCAGCAGUGGGGAAUAUUGGACAAUGGGCGCAAGCCGGAUCCUGCCAUACCGCGUGGGGGAAGAUGGCCUUCUGGUUGUAAAGCCCUUUUGUUGGGAAAGAAAAGCAGCAGGUUAAUACCCCGCUGUUCUGACGGUACCCAAAGAAUAAGCACCGGCUAACUUCGUG